ACCAAGGCAGCAUAGGGAUGAUGUAACCCCACAGCAGGAUAGCUAAGUUUCCCUUCUGUCACCUCCAGGGCCGUAGCAACAAAGAACGUGGCCCCCUCCGAACAUAUGUGGCCCCCUCUGAACAUAUGUCCGGGGGCCCUUAUAAUGCAGAAACUGGAAUGCGCUGCUACAGGCGCUGCCGUUCCUAUCGCCUCUCUGCCUUGCGGUGGGUCGGUGUGUUCCUGGGGCUCUCGGUUCUAGCCCGCCUGCCUGGGCUUUUUGCAGCCACUUCAGAUUGUAUAAAGUCGAGUGCCCGCAUUCACACUAAGCACAGUAAUUCGGCGGUGUGCG